GACGAACGCUGGCGGCGUGCUUAACACAUGCCAGUCGAACGGAAAGGCUCCAGCUUUCUGGAGUACUCGAGUGGCGAACGGGUGAGUAACACGUGGGUAAUCUGCCCUUCACUCUGGGAUAAGCCUGGGAAACUGGGGCUAAUACUGGAUAUGACCUUUCUCCUCAUGGUGUUUGGUGGAAAGUUUUGCGGUGUAGGAUGAGCCCGCGGCCUAUCAGCUUGUUGGUGGGGUGAUGGCCUACCAAGGCGACGACGGGUAGCCGGCCUGAGAGGGUGAUCGGCCACAUUGGGACUGAGAUACGGCCCAGACUCCUACGGGAGGCAGCAGUGGGGAAUAUUGCACAAUGGGCGGAAGCCUGAUGCAGCGACGCCGCGUGAGGGAUGACGGCCUUCGGGUUGUAAACCUCUUUCAGCAGGGACGAAGCGUAAGUGACGGUACCUGCAGAAGAAGCACCGGCUAACUAUGUG
rnacentral:rRNA from 1 species